GUAAAAUUAACUUUGAUGGAGAUAUUGUGGACCUUUUAAACUGGAUAAUAAUAAUUAGCUCUUUCAGUUUCUUUCAGUGUUCCUAGAGAAAGUCGUACCCAGCUGCGCUUAAUUUCUGUUUAACUUUUCCUGUUUGCCUUUGCCUUCUGGACAGAAGAAGACUUUGGAGGACUUGACUUGGCAUCGUGAACAUGGACAUGGACCUGAACCUGGAUAGCAAAUGCAAGCAAAAAAGUGUUUUCUAGUUUAGCAUCUUUUUAGCGGAAGUCAAUGUAACAAAAGAUAAACUUGUCCAGCCAGCUGCUGCUGCUAUUCCUUGUUCUAGCUUCGUAAUAUUGAACGCAGCAAAGACCAGAAACGCAAAAGCCAAGGCAAAGGGUGCAUAAAGGGGAAGGAGGUGGUGAUGGUCGCUCAGAAGUAUUAACUAAACACUGCAGCAAUUUAUCUUUACCUCCCACCAAUUCAACGAAGCGAACGUAGGUUCCCUCCUCCGAGUUUCUUCAAUCUUCAUGACUGUCGGAAGUCGCUGUGCUCCGUUGUAUCGUGCUUCCUUCCGCAUUACAAAAGAAUUACUCAACACAAUGUCUGGCCUGGCCUGGUCUGAAUUGGAUUGGAUUGGGUCUGGCCGAAAAAAGUUUGCCAAAGCCAACAGCAGAAGAAGUAGAUCAGUCCCCUUUUUGCUUUGUUUUAUUUUUGGCCUUCUUUUUCGAUUUUUCUUGCUUUGGUCAGGUGGCAGACACUAACUAACCCACCCAAAAUGAAACCCCCUUAAA